GAUGAACGCUAGCGGCAGGCCUAAUACAUGCAAGUCGAACGGUGUCUUCGGACAUAGUGGCGCACGGGUGCGUAACACGUAUGCAACCUACCUUACAUUGGGGGAUAGCCUUUCGAGAGGGAGAUUAAUACCGCAUAAGACAGUAGCUGGGCAUCCAGCAGCUGUUAAAGAUUUAUCGAUGUAAGCUGGGCAUGCGUCCAAUUAGCUAGUUGGUGAGGUAACGGCUCACCAAGGCAAUGAUUGGUAGGGGAACUGAGAGGUCAAUCCCCCACACUGGCACUGAGAUACGGGCCAGACUCCUACGGGAGGCAGCAGUAGGGAAUAUUGGGCAAUGGACGCAAGUCUGGCCCAGCCAUGCCGCGUGCAGGAUGAAGGCGUUAUGCGUUGUAAACUGCUUUUAUACAGGAAGAAACGACUCUUGCGAGAGGCAUUGACGGUACUGUAUGAAUAAGCACCGGCUAACUCCGUGCCAGCCGCCGCGGUAACAC
rnacentral:rRNA from 1 species